rnacentral:rRNA from 1 species
GUUGUAUAGUUAAGUGACUAAGCGUACACGGUGGAUGCCUAGGCGGUAGAAGGCGAUGAAGGACGUGAUAGCCUGCGAUAAGCGUCGGUGAGGUGGCAAAUAACCUUUGACCCGGCGAUUUCCGAAUGGGAAAACCCAUCCUUUAUGGAUAUCCUCUUUGAGGAAGCUAACCCGGAGAACUGAAACAUCUAAGUACCCGGAGGAAAAGAAAUCAACCGAGAUUCCCUUAGUAGCGGCGAGCGAACGGGGACCAGCCCUUAAGCAAUUAUUGAGUUAGCAAAAUACUCUGGAAAGUGUAACGGUACAAGGUGAUAGUCCUGUAUGCGAAAACUCAUUAGUUGUGAAAUCGAGUAGGACGGAACACGUGAAAUUCUGUCUGAACAUGGGGGGACCACCCUCCAAGGCUAAAUACUCUCUACCGACCGAUAGUGAACCAGUACCGUGAGGGAAAGGCGAAAAGAACCCCUGGAGGGGAGUGAAAUAGAACCUGAAACCGUGUACGUACAAGCAGUGGGAGCCCUUUUGGGGUGACUGCGUACCUUUUGUAUAAUGGGUCAGCGACUUACGUUAUGUAGCAAGGUUAACCGAAUAGGGGAGCCGUAGGGAAACCGAGUCUUAACUGGGCGAAUAGUUGCAUGGCGUAGACCCGAAACCGGGCGAUCUAUCCAUGGCCAGGUUGAAGGUGCCGUAACAGGUACUGGAGGACCGAACCCACGUAUGUUGAAAAAUGCGGGGAUGAGUUGUGGAUCGGAGUGAAAGGCUAAUCAAGCCCGGAGAUAGCUGGUUCUCCUCGAAAUCUAUUUAGGUAGAGCCUCAUGUCUCACUCCUGGGGGUAGAGCACUGUUAUGGUCUAGCGGCCCGUCAAGGGUUAGCAGCCCAUUGCAAACUCCGAAUACCAGGAAGUGCAAUCAUGGGAGACAGACUGCGGGUGCUAACGUCCGUAGUCAAGAGGGAAACAACCCAGACCGCCAGCUAAGGUCCCUAAACACUACUCAGUGGGAAAGGAUGUGGGAAGGCUUAGACAGUCAGGAGGUUGGCUUAGAAGCAGCCACCCUUUAAAGAAAGCGUAAUAGCUCACUGAUCGAGUCGGCCUGCGCCGAAGAUUUAACGGGGCUAAGUAGUGUACCGAAGCUGCGGAUGCGUUUUUACGCAUGGUAGAGGAGCGUUCUGUAAGCCUGCGAAGGGGCAUUGUAAAGUGUCCUGGAGGUAUCAGAAGUGCGAAUGCUGACAUAAGUAGCGAUAAAGGGAGUGAAAAGCUCCCUCGCCGAAAGACCAAGGUUUCCUACGCAACGCUAAUCGACGUAGGGUUAGUCGACCCCUAAGACGAGGCCGAGAGGCGUAGUCGAUGGGAAGCAGGUUAAUAUUCCUGCACUUUUUAUGACUGCGAUGGAGGGACGGAGAAAGCUAAACCAGCCUGGCGAUGGUUGUCCAGGUUUAAGACGGUAGGCAUGUAUCUUAGGCAAAUCCGGGAUACUCUAUGCUGAGAGUUGAUGACGAGUCCUCUUUUGGACGAAGUGGUUGAUGCUAUGCUUCCAAGAAAAUCUUCUAAGCUUCAGGUCAUAAAGAAUCGUACCCCAAACCAACACAGGUGGUCAGGAUGAGAAUUCCAAGGCGCUUGAGAGAACUCGGGUGAAGGAACUAGGCAAAAUGACACCGUAACUUCGGGAGAAGGUGUGCCCCUGCCGGUGAUGAGACUUGCUCUCUAAGCUAGUGGGGGUUGCAGAGACCAGGUGGCUGCAACUGUUUACUAAAAACAUAGCACUCUGCAAAAUCGAAAGAUGACGUAUAGGGUGUGACGCCUGCCCGGUGCCGGAAGGUUAAUUGAUGGGGUUAGCUUAUGCGAAGCUCUUGAUCGAAGCCCCGGUAAACGGCGGCCGUAACUAUAACGGUCCUAAGGUAGCGAAAUUCCUUGUCGGGUAAGUUCCGACCUGCACGAAUGGCGUAAUGAUGGCCACACUGUCUCCACCCGAGACUCAGCGAAAUUGAACUCGCAGUUAAGAUGCUGCGUACCCGCGGCUAGACGGAAAGACCCCGUGAACCUUUACUACAGCUUUACACUGGACUUUGACCUUACUUGUGUAGGAUAGGUGGGAGGCUAUGAAACUGUGUCGCCAGAUGCAGUGGAGCCAUCCUUGAAAUACCACCCUGGUAAUGUUGAGGUUCUAACCUCGGUCAGUGAAUCCUGAUCAGGGACAGUGUAUGGUGGGUAGUUUGACUGGGGCGGUCUCCUCCCAAAGUGUAACGGAGGAGCGCGAAGUUACCCUCAGCACGGUCGGACAUCGUGCAUUGAGCGCAAGAGUAGAAGGGUGAUUGACUGCGAGACAGACACGUCGAGCAGGUACGAAAGUAGGUUCUAGUGAUCCGGUGGUUCUGUGUGGAAGGGCCAUCGCUCAACGGAUAAAAGGUACUCCGGGGAUAACAGGCUGAUACCGCCCAAGAGUUCAUAUCGACGGCGGUGUUUGGCACCUCGAUGUCGGCUCAUCACAUCCUGGGGCUGAAGUCGGUCCCAAGGGUAUGGCUGUUCGCCAUUUAAAGUGGUACGCGAGCUGGGUUUAGAACGUCGUGAGACAGUUCGGUCCCUAUCUGCCGUGGGCGUUGGAGAAUUGAGAGGGGCUGCUCCUAGUACGAGAGGACCGGAGUGGACGAACCGCUGGUGUUCCAGUUGUCAUGCCAAUGGCAUUGCUGGGUAGCUAUGUUCGGAAAGGAUAACCGCUGAAAGCAUCUAAGCGGGAAACCUGCCUCAAGAUGAGUUCUCCCUAGACUUUAAGUCUUCUGAAGGGCCGUUGGAGACUACGACGUUGAUAGGCAAGGUGUGGAAGUGCAGUAAUGUAUGAAGCUAACUUGUACUAAUUACCCGUGAGGCUUAACUAUACAACUCAAAAG